rnacentral:rRNA from 1 species
GACGAACCGUGCGAACGUUAUUCGGAAUCACUGGGCUUAAAGGGCGCGUAGGCGGGCCGUCAGGUCCGGGGUGAAAGCCUCCAGCUCAACUGGAGAAGUGCCUUGGAUACCGGCGGCCUCGAGGGAGGCAGGGGCGUGCGGAACUUCGGGUGGAGCGGUGAAAUGCGUAGAUAUCUGGAGGAAUACCGGUGGCGAAGGCGGCAUCCUGGACCGGCAUUGACGCUGAGGAGCGAAAGCCAGGGGAGCAAACGGG